rnacentral:rRNA from 1 species
GACGAACGCUGGCGGCGUGCUUAACACAUGCAAGUCGAACGGAAAGGCCUUUUCGGUGGGACUUGAGUGGCGAACGGAUGAGUAACACGUGGGUGAUUUGCCCUGCACUCUGGUAUAAGUCUGGGAAACUGGGUCUAAUACCUGCUAGGACCGCACUCUUGUUUGUGUGGUGGAAAGUUUUUUCGGUGUAGGAUGAGGCCGCGGCCUAUCAGGUUGUUGGUGGGGUAAUGGGCUACCAAUGCGGCGACGGGUAGCCGGACUGGGAGGUUGGUCGGCCACAAUUGGAAGUGGAUACGGGCCAGACUCCCACGGGAGGGAAGAGUGGGGAAUAUUGCAAAAUGGGCCGGAGCCUGAUGCAACGACGGCGCGUGGGGGGUGAAGGGCUUCGGGUUGUAAACUCCUUUCGCCCGGGAAGAAGCGUUUUGUGACGGUACCUGGAGAAGAAGCACCGGCUAACUACGUG